rnacentral:rRNA from 1 species
CUACGGGGCGCAGCAGUGAGGAAUUUUGCGCAAUGGGGGAAACCCUGACGCAGCAACGCCGCGUGAGUGAAGAAGGUCUUCGGGUCGUAAAGCUCUGUCAAGUGGGAAAAAAGUCAUACGGUAAAUAGCCGUGUGAUCUGAUGGUACCACUAGAGGAAGCACCGGCUAACUCCGUGCCAGCAGCCGCGGUAAUACGGAGGGUGCAAGCGUUGUUCGGAAUUACUGGGCGUAAAGAGCGUGUAGGCGGUUUGGCAAGUCAGAUGUGAAAGCCCUGGGCUCAACUCAGGAAGUGCAUUUGAAACUGCCAUACUAGAGUAUGGGAGAGGAGAGUGGAAUUCCCAGUGUAGAGGUGAAAUUCGUAGAUAUUGGGAGGAACACCCGUGGCGAAGGCGACUCUCUGGACCAAUACUGACGCUGAGACGCGAAAGCGUGGGGAGCAAACAGGAUUAGAUACCCGGGUAGUC